rnacentral:misc_RNA from 1 species
UCCGAGUUGUCCCCGGCAGUCCUCUUAGAGUCCCCGGCAUUACCCGCUGGCAACUAAGAGCAGGGGUUGCGCUCGUUGCGGCACUUAAGCAAACACCUCACGGCACGAGCUGACGACAGCCAUGCAACACCUGUCCCCGUUCCCGACUUUACGGGUCGGCAACCCUUUCAGGCACCUACUUCGGGGAUGGCAAGCCUGGGUAAGGUUCUUCGCUUUGCAUCGAAUUAAAGAACAUGCUCCGCUGCUUGUGCGGGCCCCCGUCAAUUCUUUUGAGUUUUAGCCUUGCGGCCGUACUCCCCAGGCGGAACACUUAACGCAUUGGCUGCGGCACAGGAGGAUUCGACUCCCCCCACACCUAGUGUUCAUCGUUUACGGCUAGGACUAC